UGUGAGCUCGAUGAGUAGGGCGGGACACGUGGUAUCCUGUCUGAAUAUGGGGGGACCAUCCUCCAAGGCUAAAUACUCCUGACUGACCGAUAGUGAACCAGUACCGUGAGGGAAAGGCGAAAAGAACCCCGGCGAGGGGAGUGAAAAAGAACCUGAAACCGUGUACGUACAAGCAGUGGGAGCACGCUUAGGCGUGUGACUGCGUACCUUUUGUAUAAUGGGUCAGCGACUUAUAUUCUGUAGCAAGGUUAACCGAAUAGGGGAGCCGAAGGGAAACCGAGUCUUAACUGGGCGUUAAGUUGCAGGGUAUAGACCCGAAACCCGGUGAUCUAGCCAUGGGCAGGUUGAAGGUUGGGUAACACUAACUGGAGGACCGAACCGACUAAUGUUGAAAAAUUAGCGGAUGACUUGUGGCUGGGGGUGAAAGGCCAAUCAAACCGGGAGAUAGCUGGUUCUCCCCGAAAGCUAUUUAGGUAGCGCCUCGUGAAUUCAUCUCCGGGGGUAGAGCACUGUUUCGGCAAGGGGGUCAUCCCGACUUACCAACCCGAUGCAAACUGCGAAUACCGGAGAAUGUUAUCACGGGAGACACACGGCGGGUGCUAACGUCCGUCGUGAAGAGGGAAACAACCCAGACCGCCAGCUAAGGUCCCAAAGUCAUGGUUAAGUGGGAAACGAUGUGGGAAGGCCCAGACAGCCAGGAUGUUGGCUUAGAAGCAGCCAUCAUUUAAAGAAAGCGUAAUAGCUCACUGGUCGAGUCGGCCUGCGCGGAAGAUGUAACGGGGCUAAACCAUGCACCGAAGCUGCGGCAGCGACGCUGAUGCGUUGUUGGGUAGGGGAGCGUUCUGUAAGCCUGUGAAGGUGUGCUGUGAGGCAUGCUGGAGGUAUCAGAAGUGCGAAUGCUGACAUAAGUAACGAUAAAGCGGGUGAAAAGCCCGCUCGCCGGAAGACCAAGGGUUCCUGUCCAACGUUAAUCGGGGCAGGGUGAGUCGACCCCUAAGGCGAGGCCGAAAGGCGUAGUCGAUGGGAAACAGGUUAAUAUUCCUGUACUUGGUGUUACUGCGAAGGGGGGACGGAGAAGGCUAUGUUGGCCGGGCGACGGUUGUCCCGGUUUAAGCGUGUAGGCUGGUUUUCCAGGCAAAUCCGGAAAAUCAAGGCUGAGGCGUGAUGACGAGGCACUACGGUGCUGAAGCAACAAAUGCCCUGCUUCCAGGAAAAGCCUCUAAGCAUCAGGUAACAUCAAAUCGUACCCCAAACCGACACAGGUGGUCAGGUAGAGAAUACCAAGGCGCUUGAGAGAACUCGGGUGAAGGAACUAGGCAAAAUGGUGCCGUAACUUCGGGAGAAGGCACGCUGAUAUGUAGGUGAAGUCCCUCGCGGAUGGAGCUGAAAUCAGUCGAAGAUACCAGCUGGCUGCAACUGUUUAUUAAAAACACAGCACUGUGCAAACACGAAAGUGGACGUAUACGGUGUGACGCCUGCCCGGUGCCGGAAGGUUAAUUGAUGGGGUUAGCGCAAGCGAAGCUCUUGAUCGAAGCCCCGGUAAACGGCGGCCGUAACUAUAACGGUCCUAAGGUAGCGAAAUUCCUUGUCGGGUAAGUUCCGACCUGCACGAAUGGCGUAAUGAUGGCCAGGCUGUCUCCACCCGAGACUCAGUGAAAUUGAACUCGCUGUGAAGAUGCAGUGUACCCGCGGCAAGACGGAAAGACCCCGUGAACCUUUACUAUAGCUUGACACUGAACAUUGAGCCUUGAUGUGUAGGAUAGGUGGGAGGCUUUGAAGUGUGGACGCCAGUCUGCAUGGAGCCGACCUUGAAAUACCACCCUUUAAUGUUUGAUGUUCUAACGUGGACCCGUAAUCCGGGUUGCGGACAGUGUCUGGUGGGUAGUUUGACUGGGGCGGUCUCCUCCUAAAGAGUAACGGAGGAGCACGAAGGUUGGCUAAUCCUGGUCGGACAUCAGGAGGUUAGUGCAAUGGCAUAAGCCAGCUUGACUGCGAGCGUGACGGCGCGAGCAGGUGCGAAAGCAGGUCAUAGUGAUCCGGUGGUUCUGAAUGGAAGGGCCAUCGCUCAACGGAUAAAAGGUACUCCGGGGAUAACAGGCUGAUACCGCCCAAGAGUUCAUAUCGACGGCGGUGUUUGGCACCUCGAUGUCGGCUCAUCACAUCCUGGGGCUGAAGUAGGUCCCAAGGGUAUGGCUGUUCGCCAUUUAAAGUGGUACGCGAGCUGGGUUUAGAACGUCGUGAGACAGUUCGGUCCCUAUCUGCCGUGGGCGCUGGAGAACUGAGGGGGGCUGCUCCUAGUACGAGAGGACCGGAGUGGACGCAUCACUGGUGUUCGGGUUGUCAUGCCAAUGGCACUGCCCGGUAGCUAAAUGCGGAAGAGAUAAGUGCUGAAAGCAUCUAAGCACGAAACUUGCCCCGAGAUGAGUUCUCCCUGACUCCUUGAGAGUCCUGAAGGAACGUUGAAGACGACGACGUUGAUAGGCCGGGUGUGUAAGCGCAGCGAUGCGUUGAGCUAACCGGUACUAAUGAACCGUGAGGCUUAACCUU
rnacentral:rRNA from 1 species